CCUACGGGAGGCAGCAGUGGGGAAUAUUGCACAAUGGGGGAAACCCUGAUGCAGCGACGCCGCGUGAGUGAAGAAGUAUCUCGGUGCGUAAAGCUCUAUCUGCAGGGAAGCAAAUGACGGUACCUGACUCAGUAUCCCCGGCUAACUACGUACCAGCAGCCGCGGUAAUACGUAGGGGGCAAGCGUUAUCCGGAUUUACUGGGGGUUAAGGGAGCGUAGUCGGGAGCACAAGUCCGGAGUGAAAUCCCGGGGCUUAACCCCGGAACUGCCGUGGAAACUGUGGGGCUGGAGUGGAGGAGGGGUAAGCGGAAUUCCCAGUGUAGCGGUGAAAUGCGUAGAUAUUAGGAGGAACACCGGUGGCGAAGGCGGCUUACUGGACUGGAACUGACGUUGAGGCUCGAAAGCGUGGGGAGCAAACAGGAUUAGAUACCCCGGUAGUC
rnacentral:rRNA from 1 species